GGUUAAGCGACUAAGCGUACACGGUGGAUGCCCUGGCAGUCAGAGGCGAUGAAGGACGUGCUAAUCUGCGAUAAGCGUCGGUGAGGUGAUAUGAACCGUUAUAACCGGCGAUUUCCGAAUGGGGAAACCCAGUGUGUUUCGACACACUAUCAUUAACUGAAUCCAUAGGUUAAUGAGGCGAACCGGGGGAACUGAAACAUCUAAGUACCCCGAGGAAAAGAAAUCAACCGAGAUUCCCCCAGUAGCGGCGAGCGAACGGGGAGGAGCCCAGAGCCUGAAUCAGUGUGUGUGUUAGUGGAAGCGUCUGGAAAGGCGCGCGAUACAGGGUGACAGCCCCGUACACAAAAAUGCACAUAUUGUGAGCUCGAUGAGUAGGGCGGGACACGUGGUAUCCUGUCUGAAUAUGGGGGGACCAUCCUCCAAGGCUAAAUACUCCUGACUGACCGAUAGUGAACCAGUACCGUGAGGGAAAGGCGAAAAGAACCCCGGCGAGGGGAGUGAAAAAGAACCUGAAACCGUGUACGUACAAGCAGUGGGAGCCUCUUUAUGGGGUGACUGCGUACCUUUUGUAUAAUGGGUCAGCGACUUAUAUUCUGUAGCAAGGUUAACCGAAUA
rnacentral:rRNA from 1 species